CGUCUCUCCAAACUGGAAAAGGCGACUGUGCAACCACCACCACAUGUUCAGGUCUCGAUCCCUCGGGCUGUCUCUCUUUUUUUUUAACUCUCACGCCAGGCAGAGGGGUGUGUGUUUCCCUUGGCACAGCAGCACAAAUCAAUAAACACUGCAGCUGCGGUGCAAGUAGCAGCCCCGCGCGUCCGUCGGUCCGUCCGCCCCCUCCCCCACCCUCCUUCCACCCGAGACCCAGAGCGCCAUCCAAGCCCCAUUAUCCGGCUUCAGCGCUCCGUGCGUCCGGCCCAGGUAACAACUUCCCCAAAAACCGAAAGAGAAAAGCGCGAGGCGCACGCACACCGGCCCAUCCCGGCGCAGAGACCUCGUCUGCCCCGGGAGGGGGAUCUGUCUGUGGUGCUUCCCGGUCUCUAAGCCCAGGGCCUACUGCAGUGCAUGAAGGUGGUAUGGACUCAGAACUCUGAAGUCUGAGGAGACAAAUACAUGCCCACCAUAACAACAUCACACAAUACCUAGAGUCAAAACAGUUAUCCCUAUUCCUACCCCCAACUGAGUUAUUCAAUAAAGCCUGCCUUGUUGAAUCUGUUUUCCCAUGUAUAGUUUAUAUAGUUACAUAACAAUUAGUUUUUUCCAUAUACUUAGGAUAACUACAUGUAAUUUAGUAUUCUGCUGUUUUCACUUACAUAUCACAUACAUUUUCCUGAUACAGGUACAUAGUCUUUAUAUUUGUCAUUUUUCACUUGACUGCUAUGUUUCUCAAAUUGAUAUACUGUCAUUUCCUAAGCCAGUUAUAUAUUGUUGAACAUUUAAAUUACUCCCUUUUUUGGUUUGUAAAUAAACAUUGUUAUGAAAUA
rnacentral:lncRNA from 1 species